rnacentral:rRNA from 1 species
UACGUAGGGUGCAAACGUUGUUCGGAAUUACUGGGCGUAAAGCGCGUGUAGGCGGCCCUGCAAGUCGGAUGUGAAAUCCCACGGCUCAACCGUGGAAGUGCAUUCGAAACUGCAGGGCUAGAGUCCUGGAGAGGAAGGUGGAAUGCUUGGUGUAGAGGUGAAAUUCGUAGAUAUCAAGCGGAACACCGGUGGCGAAGGCGGCCUUCUGGACAGUGACUGACGCUGAGACGCGAAAGCGUGGGGAGCAAACAGG